AACGUAGGUGGCAAGCGUUAUCCGGAUUUACUGGGCGUAAAGCGUGUGCAGGCGGGGGUACAAGUGGUGUAUGAAAUUUCCCAGCUUAACUGGGAAGGGUUAUGCCAGACUGUACUUCUGGAGUGCGAGAGAGGGGCGUGGAAUUCCGGGUGUAGUGGUGAAAUGCGUAGAUAUCAGGAGGAACACCUGUGGUGUAGACGGCUCUCUGGACCGCAACUGACGCUGAGACACGAAAGCGUGGGUAGCAAACAGG
rnacentral:rRNA from 1 species